ensembl:lncRNA
GCUUCACUUACCAUGCCGACGACUUUAUAAUAAAUGAAGUGAGUUAAAGUAAAGCAACCCGGGAUUGGACAACUUUCUUCGAGAAUAUGCAACAGAUGGUGACCCCGUCGUUUGGAAGGAAGUCCCGAGAAUCCCGGCCGGCGCGACGCUAAAACAACUUCAACAGGCCACACACGUCUGAGGUAAGUAUAAAUCAUUGUUUUAAAGAUUAAAUCUGAAAUAGGAUUGGUUAUAAGAACACUUAGGUGUAAGUUUGUUUUAGCCACCGUCCGAUCGUGCUGCUGCAGAGGCCUAGCAUAACAACACGUGUAGAUCAACGGUUGCAAGGAACUCUGAAAACCCAACCUCCCCCCUUCAUAACACUUGAGUUGUUUUGAGUACUCGUCGUUAACGAUCAUUCUUGGUAGGCUACUGGUUGAGAGGUGAAGCCCUCCACUAUCGGUCUCUGUAUAGAUCGGGUCAAAAUAGUAUAUUAACAAGAGUUAUCUUUAACUUCUCCGCUGAGGCCGGCACGGUCUGCGUCCACCAUAGCGGACGUUCGGAGUGUAUACUAUCUUAUCUGCCGAUCCGCUAAAUGCCACCCAAGACUGCAUGCUUCAUUUUACAUUCAAGUCUAUUGGUAUUUUGUUAUUAAAGACGAUGAAUUAUUAAGGUAAAAUACCCCCUGACCCCCUAGACACGUGAAGUCUCCCCCCCACCACCCCACCCUCUCUCUCUCCCUCUUCUACCCCCCCUCUCCCCAUCCCUUUGUUUACCUGGGCGCUCCUGGCUGUUUGAUAAGGCAAUGGUAGCCUGCACAAAGGGACCCCCGGUGUGUUAUGUCUGUCUGUCUCUGUCUCUGUCUCUGUCUGUCUGUACCUCAGGUAAUACGUAGGAGAAGUAGUACCUGUGUUUUUUGUUUUAUAUGAUGAAUGUCUCGAAGUUAAGCCGAGACCAUCAUAAGGUAAAUAGUGAAAGCGCCGAAGUUAAGCCGGGCCACUAUAAGGUUUAUUUAUUACCGGCCACAAACUUCCAAACUCUUUACGGUGGGGGGAGGAAAGGUCAGGUUUUUAACGUUAAUCUAGCUUAGUUGCAUAUUAAAACGGAGGCUUGGCCAAGGAGUUCAAAUUGGAUUGAUUCCUCCCGGUUCAUUUCAAAUCUAAUGUGCAAUUUUGAUUAGUAUACAACGCAGCCGUAGAGUGUAACCACGUG